rnacentral:lncRNA from 1 species
CGUACUUUUUUCUUUUACACGUGUAACAAUAUUAAAUUAAAUAAAAAAAUAUAUCUAUAUUUAAAUGAAAAAUUUGUACAAUCUAAAAGAUAAAAUUGCAAAAUUAAAAAUCACUUACAAUCCGAGAUAUUAGGCUAGCAUCAUCUCUUGUGACAUGGUUGAUCGAAGAUAAGAUUUAAUCAAUUUCAACUUUGAAAAACUUCUUUCAACGGAUGCAACGACAACGGUACAGGAGAGAAGCAUACCUUCAAUGACAAAGAAACUGCACGUGCAAGCUCAGUAUCUUCUAGAUGGGACUGCCUAGGCUGAUGAGUGGGAUUCCUAAGAUCCUGUAUCAGAUCAACAUAUUUCGAUAAUUACAACUCACAUUACAGGGAAAAAAUGACUCAUACAUUCAAACUGAAUCACAUACAACGUGAUCAUCAAAUUGUUGAUUUGACAUUGCAGCAUCCCAUUUGGAAGCCUCAAUGUGCAGUUUAAGAAACAUCUUCAAUUAUAGGAGUAGUAUCAGACAACCAGAAGCUCCACUACCAUCCUUAACCUCAAUUGGGAUCUCCCUCACCUCUCUUGGAUGUGAAACAAAUGAUGAACCACUACCAAAACCAGUACCACUAUCAAAUAUAGUUCUGGUGAAGUUUGGAUCAAGUAAAGAAAAUGGAUUCAAAUCCCUAGCAGAGGGUAAUAGCGAAAAAGGUCUAAGGGUUCAGCUAGAAUCGGGUCAUCUAUAUCCAUAACAUCAUUCCAAGGAGCAGUGAAAGAUGCCUCUUGCGUUCUAAACACAGAGAAACAAUAAUGUAAUAGAAGAUGUUUUGAUUUAAAAGUACAUAGGUAUUUGAAGGGAAAGAAGAAGGAAAAAAAGAAAGAUUCAAAAGGACUGGAAAAAUGCCUACAUGUUUCUAUACCUCACUGAAAUGUGAAUUGACAGCUUCAUUCAGGUUGCCAUGAUGCUCCUUCUCAACACAGCACAUAUAAUAUACUUGGGCAAUAAAAUCAAACACAACAUUCAAAACCUCCUUUCAAAUAAAUUAUUUUGCAGGUUAGUUUGCAUACCAAAAAAAAAAAAAAAUAGAGGGCAACAGCACAUAAAGGUUUCACAUAUCAUAAAAUUCUAAGAUAACCAAUGAUUAAUGAAUUUCAAUAUUCUUCCAGUUAAUCAAAGAUUCUGGCUCUGCAAACUUAGUGGUUUAAUCAUCACACCAUCCAAAUUCAGUAUAAUUUCUUCCUCGUCUACCAAUAAUCAUCAUUCUAAAUUCCAAAAAUCCAAAGACAGAAAGAGCUUUGCUAUUAAUUAUUAUAUGAUAAACCAAUUACAAUUUACCUGAAUAGAUGAGCAGGGUCGGGAAAAAACAGCAAACUUUUGGAAGGAGAUGUCUUCUGCCGACUGCCGAGAUGGGCGCUAGAAAGCCAGGAGACUGAGGAGAGGAGGAUACUGAUUACUGAAGAAUUAUGAUUUUUGAAUUGGAAAAAGUAAAAUGUAAUCAAGCGGUGGAAGAUUGGAAAUCCAACCCUUAACCCUUUUCUAUUUCGAAUUGGAGCUCGUAUGAAUUUGGAAUUUGCAGAGGAGAUUUGGGAAUUCUGAAUGGAAGAAGAAGACUUUCCCUUCGGCUGAAUGGGUGAUAGGUCCCUUCAAUUUCAUUUUCCUUCCUGCACCAGCGUUUGGCGUCCCUUUCCUUCUUUAACCCUUUCAAUUUGAUGCCCAGGUGCUGGACUGCCGGUAUGAAAUCUAAGGCCCUGGGCCCAAUCCACAUUUUUGAGGCCCUAGGCCUUUGCCUAGGUGGCUUAGCCUCAGGAUCGGCC